rnacentral:rRNA from 1 species
UACAGAGGUCUCAAGCGUUGUUCGGAUUCAUUGGGCGUAAAGGGCGCGUAGGCGGUGCGGUAAGUCUGUUGUGAAAUCUCCGGGCUCAACUCGGAGCUUGCAUCAGAAACUGCCGUGCUUGAGUGUGGGAGAGGUGAGUGGAAUUCCCGGUGUAGCGGUGAAAUGCGUAGAUAUCGGGGAGGAACACCUGUGGCGAAAGCGGCGCACUGGACCAUAACUGACGCUGAGGCGCGAAAGCUAGGGGGAGCAAACAGG